rnacentral:rRNA from 1 species
CCUACGGGAGGCAGCAGUGGGGGAUAUUGCACAAUGGGGGGAACCCUGAUGCAGCGACGCCGCGUGGGUGAAGGAGCGUUUCGGCGCGUAAAGCUCUAUCGGCAGGGAAGAAGAUGACGGUACCUGAUCAAGAAUCCCUUGCCAAUUACGUGCCAGCAGCCGCGGUCAUACGUAGGGGGCAAGCGUUAUCCGGAUUUACGGGGUGUAAGGGGGGCGCAGACGGCAAUGCAAGCCAGGCGUGAAAGCCCGGGGCCCAACCCCGGGACUGCUCUUGGAACUGAAUGGCUGGAGUACAGGAGAGGCAGGCGGAAUUCCUAGUGUAGCGGUGAAAUGCGUAGAUAUUAGGAAGAACACCGGUGGCGAAGGCAGCCUGCUGGUCUGUGACUGACGUUGAGGCCCGAAGGCGUGGGGAGCAAACAGGAUUAGAUACCCUAGUAGUC